UCAAUCCACUACAGGAUGAAGAUCUCUUCUUCAACACCACACUAGUCCAAUGUGGGUUGACAGGUAGACAUGUUUUGACCUUCUGGUCCAGGGUGCAAAAGAAGGUCCCAAGUCACACAGCUGGUCCUGUACCUUGUGGCUUCCAUAUCAUAGGGUAAUAGUGUAAUAGGCACUUGUCACCAAUAAACCUGGUAUAGCUCAGCCCUGUGUGGGGAACAAAGCCAUAUUGCAUAUGAACCAUGCUAGGUAUAAAGGAACAGCAAGAGCCAAUUCAACUGGAACAAAAGGAUGCUGAAUAAGCAUGCAGAGAAUGUCCCAGUGAGGACAACACAGCCAUUUGUUAUAGACUGGAAGCAAAGAAAGAAGCAGCAUCACAGCAUCUGCAUGAGGAUAGGAAGUGUAUGGUAUGAAUUGUAUUCUCAAGAGCAAUGAUUUAUAUUUUCCUAUAAAAGCUAAGGAUAAAAGCUGGAUAGUUAAAAAUACUGUAAACAAUAAGAUUUCAUGAAGGGAAAGCAUGCUAAAACUGAUCUGAGUUCUACCACUUGGGAGAUGGAGAAUUUGAACAUAAAAUCAUUUUAGCCUAUUUCAUGUCUUAGUUUAACUUAAAUGGAGCAUCCUUUUGGAUUUGCUAAUUGCUUUUGAGACUUAAUCUUCUACACUCUUUAUUGUUUCCUCUUUGAAGUAGGAGAUUAAAUCGGUGAGGAAAAAUGAAUCUCUGUGGUAAUGUACUGCAUGUGUUCCAAGCUAUUCAAAUCUAAGAUCCUGAACCAAUAGUCAUAAGAGAGAUGAAAGAACUGCUUUUCUGACCACACUUACAAAUAAAUGGCUGAUAUGACACAAUAGCCUUCUGUGGCUGUUCCCCUACAAUUAGUAUUUAGAGCUAAUUGCCUUCAGUUCCGAGUGAUAUACAAAUGUCCAGACUAGUACCCACCAAAACCAGCUUGUUCCUUAUUUGGUGUAGCCCUCUUAUAAAACCUUAUAAAUUGUUAUCUGCAGACAAUCAAGAUCCAUAGUUUUAUGUACACAUUAUAUAAAGAAGUAUUUCUUUUUAAUUCUUUUAUUCACAAACCAUCAAACUAAUCAAAAUUAGUACAGAUCUUUAUAAGAUCUAAUCUUAUCAUUCAACCUCUUCAACCUAUCAUUCUCCAAUAUUAAAUUAAUAAUAUUAGAUCGAAUAAGUUUUUCUCCGUACUUUCAUUCACAAACCUGUGUCUAGAUGUGCUGAAUAUUGAAAAUCAAGAGCUAUGCAAUUAAACUUUGCACCUCUCAGGAAGAGUGUCAAGCCCACUAAGCAUCAGUAGGAUGGGGGCAAUAUUAUGAUGUAUAAGAAUUUCUUAAAAGGCAAACAUUCCUUUCCUGCUUGAACUAGUACAAUUUUUAUUGUUAUAUUUUAGUUAAGACUCAUAUUUAUAACAAAGCAGCCGCUGUUAGUUUCCCAGAAUUGAGAACCUUGCAUUCCUUGUGGGAAGAGUAGGCCUUCUGAAUUUUUGAAGGCUGUCAUUCUCUUCCUAGAGAAUGUUAUUAUAACUCCAACGAUGUGAAUGGAAUAUAUUAGAAAUGAUAAAAGGCAAAUAUUAAAAAUUCAUUUAAAUCAUCACUCGAUGUUUGAGACAUUUUUGAACAAAAUUCAAAAGAACACUUAUGACCCCUUCUACUCACUAUUCAUUCCUUGCUGUCUUUCUUGCCUAGCUGUAGAUCUAUCUUGUCAGCAUUGUCUCUUGAGAGAGCUCCGUGUCAUUCUUCAGUUCAACAGUUCAUGACAAAUAUAAAGGGAAAAAUUAAAUGAAGAGGGAGAAAAACAAUGGUAAAUACUAACAUCCAGUAAUGCUAUCAGUUAUAGUCUUUCAUACCCAAGCAGCCUUGCAGGGAAAUAGGAAGUAUAACUACCAUUAUAAUCUUCUUAGUGAUCUGUACCUUUGGAGAAAGGAGCUAACAAUUGUUUCCAAGCGCAUGAACCUCUAGAGUGAAAAUAUGGUAUUUUGGCAAUGUCCCUUUCUUAAAAUUACAUUUCUAGUUCUAAGUUCUCACUGUUUUAGUUUAACUUACAAAUAUUAAAGGAGAUACAAAACUGAUCACAUGCUGAGAUAAUCUCUCUAGAGGAUCAGACAUUGCAAACGUGCCUAUAGUAUUUUCUAAAGUAAUGUCUGAAUUAUUUUUAAGGAACUCACAUUAAUUUUUCACUCCCAGCAGUACUAAUAUUGUCCAUUUCUGCAUAAUAACAUAGUCACUGCUUUUUUAUAUAUCCAGCUCUGUAAUUGCCAUAACCUACCAGCAUUAUUUUAACUGUAUUUUCCUUAAAAUGAGUAUUUAAAAUCAAAUUAAUAAGCUUUCAUUAUUAAUUGUAAUUAAAUUGUUACCAUUUUCUUAGGACAAAAAAAGAUGGGCAAUUUUAAUAGUAACAUUUGACUAAAUCUAAGCAUGCUGUUCCUGAAGAUAUUAAUUUCAAUUCUGUACAACAGAUAUUAUCUCCUUUUAUGAUGGUCUAGGGCUAGGCUAGUGGUCCAGUCAUAGCUGCUCUCUGAAAAAAACCAACAGCUGGAUGAAUAUGCAAAGGCUACUACCUUCUUUGCCAUUCCUCUUCCCUCUCCCAAAGCAACAAUAGCCUGCAUUAUAAAAUGUGCUUCACCUAAAUAGCAACUAUUUUGUAAAAAGGAAAACUACAUUGUGAUAACUGGUGUUUACUUUUUAAUAACUGAUAGUUUUGUGUAAUAUUAGAGAUAACUUUCUUCUACUAUAUUUUAAUGUUUUGCUCCCAGUCUGUGAAUAUAGACAUUUUAAAAUUUGCAUUAAAAUACGAACUCAUAGUGAUUGAAACAAAUUUGGUUACCAAAUCUCAUGCUGCUGACAAGACAGGACAAUUGUUUUCCAAUCAGCUGCUAAAAUAUUUUCACUAUGAUCAUAGCCAUACUAGGACAUUUCUUUGUACAUAUUUGAAUUUUU